GCUGGAAUUGCUAGUAAUCGCGGAUCAGCAAGCCGCGGUGAAUACGUUCCCGGGCCUUGUACACACCGCCCGUCACACCAUGAGAGUCGGGAACACCCGAAGUCCGUAGUCUAACCGCAAGGGGGCGCGGCCGAAGGUGGGUCCGGUAAUUUGGGGUGAAGUCGUAACAAGGUAAC
rnacentral:rRNA from 1 species